rnacentral:rRNA from 1 species
UCCUAMRRRGGGGYUGCAGUGGGGRAUAUUSCAMRAWGGGCGAAAGCCUGAUGCAGCGACGCCGCGUGAGGGAUGACGGCCUUCGGGUUGUAAACCUCUUUCAGCAGGGAAGAAGCGAAAGUGACGGUACCUGCAGAAGAAGCGCCGGCUAACUACGUGCCAGCAGCCGCGGUAAUACGUAGGGCGCAAGCGUUGUCCGGAAUUAUUGGGCGUAAAGAGCUCGUAGGCGGCUUGUCACGUCGGUUGUGAAAGCCCGGGGCUUAACCCCGGGUCUGCAGUCGAUACGGGCAGGCUAGAGUUCGGUAGGGGAGAUCGGAAUUCCUGGUGUAGCGGUGAAAUGCGCAGAUAUCAGGAGGAACACCGGUGGCGAAGGCGGAUCUCUGGGCCGAUACUGACGCUGAGGAGCGAAAGCGUGGSKWKCGAACAGGAUUAGAUACCCNAGUAGUCA